AUGAAUGCUAUAAAAGGCACCAGCCUUGCUGCACUACUUAUUCUAACCUACAGUAAGAAGGGGGUGGGGCCGGCGAAGGUGGAGCUACUGGCGUGCAAAAGGGCAGCCCAACUGGCGGAUGAUGUCAAUGCAGCACAUAUACACAUUAAGAUGGAUUGCAAGGAGAUAGUUCGGAAGCUUCAGAAUCUAUCUUGGCAAGGGCCUUUGGUUCAGGAUGUCAAGCAUCUAAUGGAGGCACGCCAAAGCUGGAAGGUGAGCUGGGUUAGGAGAUCAGCUAAUGUGGCGGAUCACAGAUUAGCUAGGGAAGGGGUUAUGAAUAAUUUGUGUAAGUAUAAACUACACGAGGUAUCGAACGGUGACCUCGUAGGCAUGGCCUUUGAGGCCGCCGACACCUCCAUUGUCGUCCGCGCUGCCGUCCCUGUCCGACCCGUCGUCGUCCUUCAAAUAUGUUCAUAUAUGUAA
rnacentral:rRNA from 1 species